rnacentral:rRNA from 1 species
UUUUAUUUGAGAGUUUGAUCCUGGCUCAGGAUGAACGCUGGCGGCGUGCCUAACACAUGCAAGUUGAGCGAUUUACUUCGGUAAAGAGCGGCGGACGGGUGAGUAACGCGUGGGUAACCUACCCUGUACACACGGAUAACAUACCGAAAGGUAUGCUAAUACGGGAUAAUAUAUUUGAGAGGCAUCUCUUAAAUAUCAAAGGUGAGCCAGUACAGGAUGGACCCGCGUCUGAUUAGCUAGUUGGUAAGGUAACGGCUUACCAAGGCGACGAUCAGUAGCCGACCUGAGAGGGUGAUCGGCCACAUUGGAACUGAGACACGGUCCAAACUCCUACGGGAGGCAGCAGUGGGGAAUAUUGCACAAUGGGCGAAAGCCUGAUGCAGCAACGCCGCGUGAGUGAUGAAGGCCUUCGGGUCGUAAAACUCUGUCCUCAAGGAAGAUAAUGACGGUACUUGAGGAGGAAGCCCCGGCUAACUACGUGCCAGCAGCCGCGGUAAUACGUAGGGGGCUAGCGUUAUCCGGAUU